AUGUACCCCUAUGUUUUGAUUCUUUGGCAGUUUUAGACCCCAAGGCAAAAUAAAAAAUAAAAAUUAUACGUGGCACCUCACUUAGGGUGCCACGUCAGCGUUGACCGAGUCAACAAUGGACGGGGGUUCAAAACUGCCAAAUAAUCAAAACAUAGGGGGCUGUUU
rnacentral:pre_miRNA from 1 species